rnacentral:piRNA from 1 species
UGAUAACUGUACUAUUGGAGAACUGCU